AUGGUUUUUGUCAUAAAUCCUCAAGAGCCUGACAGAAACUGCAUUUGCACUCCUUCAGGUUGGAUUGAUUUGUUGAGGAAGAGUAUACCAGAGUAUCUUCUCUACACAGGGCAAAAUGUCAAAACAACCUCCGUUUAAUGAGCUAGGACCGCCAAAGUCAAGUACAAGACCUGAUGGGACAACUCUACUCCAAACAAAAGCGCCUGAUCAGGAGAUUCUAGCUCUGCUUAGGGAGAUGAAGAAGCAUUUUGAUGAUCAGUUCAAAGAGUUAAAGAAUCAGUUAGAUGGAAUGAAGAAACAGAUGGAGAACUUGUCUUCUGCAGUUAAGGAUAAGAAGAAGACUGGAAAGUAAGCCAUGAGGACUAAGGUCUCCAAGGAAUAAGCAAGCAACGGCUGGAGGAUGUUUAAAUAUUCCUAUAUAUUUCUAUUAUAUAUAAAUAUUUCUAUAUACGAAUAAAACGUAUUGUAAGGCUAUAAAGAUCAUCAGAUAUAUAUAUAUAUAUAUAUAUAUAUAUAUAUAUAGAAUUAUAUUGGAUUUUAAUGUCUUAUCUUUAUUAAUACAUUUCAUAUUUUCUUCUA